rnacentral:rRNA from 1 species
AACGGCCGUACCAUGCUGAAUAUACCGGUUCUCGUUAGAUCACCGAAGUCAAGCAUCAUUGGGCGCGGUCAGUACUUGGUUGGGUGACCACCUGGGAACACCGCAUGCCGUU